rnacentral:misc_RNA from 1 species
UACUCGUGUGUAGUUGGCUGUCUGUGUAACUGUGCCGCGAAGAGCAUGUAAUGAAAGCAAGGUGAGCUUCACCGGAUGGCACGGGUGCUGCAAAGGAUGCUCCUACGACCUUUUGCUGCGCGACAAUUGUGCCGUGCGGCAUUUACCGUGUGGCUCCGAGAUAAAACCCUCGCGAAACCUCCGCCAUCAGCAGUCGGGAGCCUGGCUGCACCCGACACAAGCGCGGCAACCGCAUCCCAAACACGCGCACGGACGCAGAAGUGGGUAAAUUUAUGCCCGUAGAGUUAUUUGGAUAAGGGUAAAACGGGGAGGAGUCGAGGGGGAGGGUGGAUUACAAACAAAUCGCUGCAACUCCCACAUUUUUUUCUAUAUAGCACACCAGCCAGCGAGCCAGACAGAAACGCCCGUACCACACUUGGUCGCGAGGUUGAGAUAAACCUUUUGGAGAAGGGGGUCGGGGGGUUGAGGUUUCCAGUCCCCCCCCUCCCCGACGAUUCUCGAAAAAGUUUGAUAGAGCACCCACUCCUCCUCCUCUCUCACCCUCCUCCCCCUUCUCUCACUCCUUCGACGCUCCGAACGGAUCAUUUCUGCUUCUCUCCCUUUUAGUGAAGUGCAGGGCUGUUCCCUUCCGCCGUCGGCCGCAGUUUCUCCUCCUCCACGCCCUCAGUCAGUCAGUCGUUCAGCAAGACCCGGUGGUUGGCGGCUGCAGGCGGCGUCAGAUCGCGACACAUCGCGCGGUAUUGUGUGAGCGCGAGUUCAAAACAGAAAAAAAAAAAAAAGAGGAAGGAGUGGGUUAGUGGAGUGAAAACUUAGGGACCUGCGGUGAGAGGCGCAAAACUCUUCCCUUCGCUCUGUCCUCAUUCUUUCUCUCCGCUGCUUGUGUACCUAAACUUCCUUCGCGCUUCUGACGACAAACGUUUCAGAUGACAGAUAAUCAGUUGCUUGUUGCCGUUCGAAGAUGUCGACGGCGCCGAUGAAAUUGUUGUCGCUGUCGCUCGUAACUACCACGACGACGAAGAGGACGCCAACGGCGACGACUGAUCUUGUCUUCGGUGACGUCGUUGGAGACAGCUCGGCUCACUUCGUCUUCUCUCGGAGCUCCCCCGUGCCAUGGAUUUGAACCCCGGUAGACCUGUUGGAUUGUGUUGUGUGCAUCUGCUGUGAUAACGCCAUCAGCUUAGCCGCCGACAUCGACCUGCAGAUGAACAUCUCCGAAACUUUUGAGUUUUGUUUGUGUUGUAGUUGUGCGACGAUUGAGGAUUAGUACGGUCUGGUCUGGAUUCGAACCACAGUUUCAAACAAAGCUGUGACCAGAAGAAGACGAAGGAGCUGUAAAGCACAAG